GACGUAGGGCGCGAGCGUUGUCCGGAUUUAUUGGGCGUAAAGAGCUCGUAGGCGGCUUGUCGCGUCGACCGUGAAAACUUGGGGCUCAACCCCAAGCCUGCGGUCGAUACGGGCAGGCUCGAGUUCGGUAGGGGAGACUGGAAUUCCUGGUGUAGCGGUGAAAUGCGUAGAGAUCAGGAGGAACACCCGUGGCGAAGGCGGCUCCCUGGUCCGUUUCUGACGCUGAGACGCGAAAGCGCGGGGAGCGAACGGG
rnacentral:rRNA from 1 species